AUACGUAGGUGGCGAGCGUUGUCCGGAAUUAUUGGGCGUAAAGAGCGCGUAGGCGGAUACUUAAGUCUGUCGUAAAAAUGCGGGGCUCAACCCCGUAGUGUCGAUGGAAACUGGGUAUCUUGAGAGCAGGAGAGGAAAGUAGAAUUCCCAGUGUAGCGGUGAAAUGCGUAGAUAUUGGGAGGAAUACCAGUGGCGAAGGCGGCUUUCUGGACUGUUUCUGACGCUGAGGCGCGAAAGCCAGGGGAGCGAACGGGAUUAGAUACCCCGGUAGUCCUGGCCGUAAACGAUGGGUACUAGGUGUAGGAGGUAUCGACCCCUUCUGUGCCGGAGUUAACGCAAUAAGUACCCCGCCUGGGGAGUACGGCCGCAAGGUUGAA
rnacentral:rRNA from 1 species